rnacentral:rRNA from 1 species
AAAAAAGUCUCGGGAUGAGCUGUGGUUAGUCCGGUGAAAUGCCAAUCGAACGCGGAGAUAGCUGGUUCUCCCCGAAAUGCAUUUAGGUGCAGCGUUAGGCGUUGUUUAUUGGGGGUAGAGCACUGAAUGGGCUAGGGGGCUUACCCGCUUACCGAACCCAACCAAACUCCGAAUACCAUUAAAUAAGCCUGGCAGUGAGACAGCGAGUGAUAAGAUCCGUUGUCAAAAGGAGAACAAUCCAGAUCGACAGCUAAGGGCCCUAAACACGUGCUAAGUGUAAACGAUGUGAGAUCGCGUAAACAGCCAGGAGGUUGGCUUGGAAGCAGCCACCCUUUAAAAAGUGCGUAACAGCUUACUGGCCGAAUGUGAUCUUGCGCGGACAAUGUAUGGGGGCUAAAGCGCGUUCCCGAAGCUUCGGGAUUUAUGAUUAGAUUCAUAGAUCGGUAGGGGAGCGUCGUGUUCAGCAGUGAAGCUAUAGCGGAAGCAAUGGUGGAGCGGACACGAGUGAGAAUGCAGGCAUGAGUAGCGAUAAGACAGGUGAGAAUCCUGUCCGCCGAAAACCCAAGGUUUCUCCGGCUAUGUUCGUCAGACGGAGGUUAGGCGGUCCCUAAGGUGAGGCCAGAAGGCGUAGCCGAUGGACAUCCAGUAGACAUUCUGGACCCGGGUUUAUCAGCCAUGGGAGGACGCUUCUCGAUAUUCCAUCCCGCACAGUUGGUAGUUGCGGGCUAGGCAAAGGUUUGGCUAGUUGAAAGACUAGCGUAAUGACUAAUGCCGGGGAAGGGAACUCUUCGGAGUGAACGAACUGGAAUUGAGGGGGGCCGAGAAAAGCCCCACAGCAUUAAUGAUAAAUUCGACCGUACUGUAAACCGACACAGGUGGGUGAGUCGAGGAGACUAAGGCGUUCGAGAGAACUCUCGUUAAGGAACUAGGCAAAUGAGCCCCGUAACUUCGGGAUAAGGGGCGCCAGCGCAAGCUGGCCGCAGCGAAGCAGCCCAGGCGACUGUUUACCAAAAACACAGGUCUCUGCUAACACGAAAGUGGAUGUAUAGGGGCUGACGCCUGCCCAAUGCCAGUAGGUUAACAGGAGAUGUCAGGUGUAUCCGAAGCAUUGAAUCGAAGCCCUGGUGAGUGGCGGCCGUAACUCUAACGGUCCUAAGGUAGCGAAAUUCCUUGUCGGCUAAAUACCGACCCGCAUGAAAGGCGUAACGACUUGGGCACUGUCUCAACGAGAAGCUCGGUGAAAUUGUAGCACCCGUGAAGAUGCGGGUUACGCGCAGUAGGACGGAAAGACCCCGUGGAGCUUUACUACACCCUGUCACUGCGAAUUGGGUGUAGAUGUAGAGAGUAGGUGGGAGCUUAGGCACCAAUGGAACACCACCCUUCUACAUCUGGUUCGCUAACCGUCACCAUUAUCUGGUGACGAGACAAUGACAGGCGGGUAGUUUGACUGGGGCGGUCGCCUCCCAAAAGGUAACGGAGGCGCCUAAAGUUGCACUCAGGCUGGUUGA